UCCUCAAGUUCUCUCAAAUCCAUCCAAGAUCAAGUAUAGCUUUAUUCCUUCGUCGAUUUCAUGAUUAUAAUUUCGAUCCCCUCCGAAUCUUAGCAAUUUCGGGAUUACUUUGUGUUGAAGUUGAAGCUUUCUUCUAGGUGAAGUAUCCUAAGAUUAAGGAUUUUCUUGUGUGAUUGAGAUUUUGGACGAAACGGGAAGUGAACUUGGAAAGGCGUAAAGAGCGUAAAAGGUACUGACGACAGGUUUUGGUGACCCACCCGCCUAGGACAUAUAUUCUGCUAUUUGGAGCACUCUUUGUCCAGAGCCUAUAUUUUGGU